AGCAGCCGCGGUAAUUCCAGCUCCAAUAGCGUAUAUUAAAGUUGUUGCAGUUAAAAAGCUCGUAGUUGAAUUUCGGGAUCGACGGGUCGGUCGCGCCUCUGGUGUGUACUGGCCCUGUCGGUUUCUCCCUUCUGACGAACCACGAUGUCAUUAAUUUGGUGCCGUGGGAAAUCAGGACUGUUACUUUGAAAAAAUUAGAGUGUUUAAAGCAGGCAUUCGCUUGAAUACAUUAGCAUGGAAUAAUGAAAUAGGACGUUUGAUCUUAUUUUGUUGGUUUCUAAGAUCGACGUAAUGAUUAAUAGGGAUAGUUGGGGGCAUUAGUAUUCAAUUGUCAGAGGUGAAAUUCUUGGAUUUAUUGAAGACUAACUACUGCGAAAGCAUUUGCCAAGGAUGUUUUCAUUAAUCAAGAACGAAAGUUAGGGGAUCGAAGACGAUCAGAUACCGUCGUAGUCUUAACCAUAAACUAUGCCGACUAGGGAUCGGAUGAUGUUAAUUUUUUAAUGACUCAUUCGGCGCCUUA
rnacentral:rRNA from 1 species